rnacentral:rRNA from 1 species
CGCAUCUGUGCAUGCAGCAUAUCAAUAAGCGGAGGAAAAGAAACUAACAAGGAUUCCCCUAGUAACGGCGAGUGAAGCGGGAAGAGCUCAAAUUUGAAAUCUUAAAGGGUUUCCCUUUACGAAUUGUAGUUUAAAGAAGUGUUUUCUGUUGAGGUUUUGGUAAAAGUUCUUUGGAAUAGGACAUCAUAGAGGGUGAGAAUCCCGUAUUUGACCUUUACUUUCAACUUUGUGAUACACUUUCAAAGAGUCGGAUUGUUUGGGAAUGCAGUCCAAAAUGGGUGGUAAAUUUCAUCUAAAGCUAAAUAUUGGCGAGAGACCGAUAGCGAACAAGUACCGUGAGGGAAAGAUGAAAAGAACUUUGAAAAGAGAGUUAAACAGUACGUGAAAUUGUCAAAAGGGAAGCGUUUGACACCAGUGUUGUUUUUCUGAAAAUCAAUUAAAGAACUGUUUAUGCUAAGUUGUUUAGACUUUAUCAGCUAACUGUUUAGUUUUGAGCUUUUCUUUAAUGCACAUUUUCAGUUAACAAGUCAACAUCAAUUUCUUUUGCUGUAAAAAAGCUUGAGGAAGGUGGCUUGAGAUUCGUCUUAAGUGUUUAUAGCCUCUUGCCUAUGCAGUCGGAGAGAUUGAGGUCUGCAGCGUAGAUCCUUCGGGGCUAAAUGCAUUUGUGCUAAGUUAUAACAUUUUAUAGACAACUUGUUGACUAUGAUUUGUCUUGUAGCUUACUCGCUUAUGUUAUUUUACCUACGCUUAGGAUGUUGACAGCAGUAUAGACUGU